GCAAGUUAAUACCUGCACUUCACAGUCCCUCAGAGACGAUGAACCUUAAAAGCACAGCUGUUCUUUUGACCAUUCUGAGUGUUGUCACUGUCAAUUCUGAAGAGCCCUCCCUGCCUGAACUCGCGUGCACUCGAGAUGUUGCUUGUUAUAACCAUGCAACUGGAGCACAAAAAGUCUGAAUGGCAGCAUCAAAACACAGCCCAGCAGUGAGAGAUAAAACCAGACAUCUAAACUUAUUAGCUGUUGUACAGAGACAGCAUCUUACAUCCCAUGGAAUAUUCUGAGAAAAGUGACAAGAAUUGAAAUGCAGAAAGAAGAUGGCUUGUGUGACAUUAAAG